rnacentral:rRNA from 1 species
AACGCGAAGAACCUUACCCACACUUGACAUCCCUGUAUUGGCUUUCAGAGAUGAUGGCGUUCGGUUCGGCCGGGGAGUGCACGGGUGCUGCAUGGCUGUCGUCAGUCUCGUGUCGUGAGAUGUUGGGUUAACUCCCGCAACGAGCGCAACCCCUAUCGUAUGUUGCCACCAUUCAGUUGGGCACUCAUGCGAGACUGCCGGUGUUAAGCCGGAGGAAGGUGGGGACGACGUCAAGUCAUCAUGGCCCUUACGUGUAGGGCUAGAAACGUGCUACAAUGGUGGUAACAGUGGGCAGCAACGUCGCAAGGCGAAGCUAAUCCCUAAAUACCAUCUCAGUUCGGAUUGUCCUCUGCAACUCGAGGGCAUGAAGUUGGAAUCGCUAGUAAUCGUACAUCAGCAUGGUACGGUGAAUACGUUCCCGGGUCUUGUACACACCG